AGAGGUUGUGGCUCAGUGGCAGAACAUCUGUUUUGCAUGCAGAAGGGUUCAGGAUCAAUUGCUGGCACCUCCA
rnacentral:tRNA from 1 species